ensembl:lncRNA
UGAAUCCCAUCCAUGAUGUAUUCGAUUUCUUCUUUUCAGAAUACUCUACUGGGAAAGCUUCCUAUCACAGAAGCCCUAUGAUUUUACAUGAAAUAUUAGAGAAAAAAAGAAUUGUAGGACACAAAUCUGAUCCUUCUCCUGGCCCAUGACUCCUCUUAUUGGUCCUAAGUGGCUUGUUAUGUACCAGUAACAUGAAGAUGAAGAUAUUUCCAUUCAGUGUCCAGCUGAGAACUGAGAGGUCACUCUCUGUCCACAUAUAACUGCAGACUGAGACAUGGGAGAUCCAAAAGGAGUGAGAUCACCAAGAGAUCACAGAAUCAUGGCAUCAUGGAAGAGAGCC